rnacentral:rRNA from 1 species
UACGGAGGGGGCUAGCGUUGUCCGGAAUUACUGGGCGUAAAGGGUGCGUAGGCGGCUAUCCAAGUCAGACGUGAAAGGCCUGGGCUCCACCCGGGAACUGCGUUUGAGACUGGGUGGCUGGAGUCCGGGAGAGGUGAGCGGAAUUCCCAGUGUAGAGGUGAAAUUCGUAGAUAUUGGGAAGAACACCGGUGGCGAAGGCGGCUCACUGGACCGGUACUGACGCUGAGGCACGAAAGCGUGGGGAGCAAACAGG